CCCUUAGAUGUCCUGGGCCGCACGCGCGUUACACUGAUGCAUUCAACGAGCUUAUAACCUUGGCCGAAAGGCCUGGGCAAUCUUGUUAACGUGCAUCGUGAUAGGGAUAGAUUAUUGAAAUUAUUAAUCUUGAACGAGGAAUUCCUAGUAAACGCAGAUCAUCAAUCUGCAUUGAUUACGUCCCUGCCCUUUGUACACACCGCCCGUCGCACCUACCGAUUGGAUGGUCCGGUGAAGCCUCGGGAUUGUGGUUCUUACCGCUUUAUUGUGGCGUGACCGCGAGAACUUGUCUAAACCUUAUCAUCUAGAGGAAGGUGAAGUCGUAACA
rnacentral:rRNA from 1 species